GACGAACGCUGGCGGCGUGCUUAACACAUGCAAGUCGAACGGAAAGGCCCUGCUUGCCGGGUGCUCGAGUGGCGAACGGGUGAGUAACACGUGGGUGAUCUGCCCCUUACUUUGGGAUAAGCCUGGGAAACUGGGUCUAAUACUGGAUAGGACCAUGCUGUAGGUGGUGUGGUGGAAAGAUUAGUUUCGGUAAGGGAUGAGCUCGCGGCCUAUCAGCUUGUUGGUGGGUUAAUGGCCUACCAAGGCGUCGACGGGUAGCCGGCCUGAGAGGGUGGACGGCCAAAUUGGGACUGUGAUACGGACCAGACGCCUACGGGAGGCAGCAGUGGGGAAGAUUGCACAAUGGGCGCAAGCCUGAUGCAGCGACGCCGCGUGGGGGAUGACGGCCUUCGGGUUGUAAACUCCUUUCAGCCAUGACGAAGCCCUUGUGGUGACGGUAGUGGUAGAAGAAGCACCGGCUAACUACGUG
rnacentral:rRNA from 1 species